rnacentral:rRNA from 1 species
UACGUAGGGUGCAAGCGUUGUCCGGAGUUAUUGGGCGUAAAGAGCUCGUAGGCGGUCUGUCGCGUCGGCUGUGAAAACCUGGGGCUCAACCCCGGGCCUGCAGCCGAUACGGGCAAGCUAGAAUUCGGUAGGGGAGACUGGAAUUCCUGGUGUAGCGGUGAAAUGCGCAGAUAUCAGGAGGAACACCGGUGGCGAAGGCGGGUCUCUGGGCCGAAAUUGACGCUGAGGAGCGAAAGCGUGGGGAGCAAACAGG